rnacentral:rRNA from 1 species
GACGAACGCUGGCGGCGUGCCUAAUACAUGCAAGUCGAGCGGAGUUUGAAAGGGAGCUUGCUUCCUUUCAAACUUAGCGGCGGACAGGUGAGUAACACGUAGGCAACCUGCCCUCAAGCCUGGGAUAACUACCGGAAACGGUAGCUAAUACCGGAUAAUUCCUUUUUUCUCCUGAGGAGAGAAUGAAAGGCGGAGCAAUCUGCUGCUUGGAGAUGGGCCUGCGGCGCAUUAGCUAGUUGGUGGGGUAAUGGCCCACCAAGGCGACGAUGCGUAGCCGACCUGAGGGGGUGAACGGCCACACUGGGACUGAGACACGGCCCAG